UAAGUUGUUAUCGAACUUUUCAACACAGUGUUUUCCGUUUUGGUGUGUUAACGCAUUGACAAGAGUGCCGGUCGUUCCAGCAUUUAGGGUUAGAAUUGAUCGAGGGAGUUACAGCAUCGUAUUGCAGCAAGCCCAACCAGUCCGGACGUACAGACUAACAGACAGGAGUUACAGCCGAAUCCUGAACAAUGAAUCUAACAGUUUUCUUCACUUCACUUGUGCUAUGCUCUCUUGUUCUGUUCGGCGUGACCGCCGCCAAAGGACGUGGUGGACGAUGUGGUCGUAAAGGAUGACGUGUGAAUGAAAUCUCUAAUACUCUGACGCAUUCCAACUGUUGUCAUGAGCUGAUGAAAUAGCUACUGUUGUCAUGGGGACGUGACGUAAUGUAUUUGAAACCUUUUGAAUGUCCUGUACUGGUUGGAUGUGUCAGAGAAUCAAAAUAAAGAAUUAUAUAGCA